GUCAGUUCCUCUUGGCUCAUGCCUAGGUCAGAUCUAUGCUCUCCUUGAUACUAAGAAGAUUUUGUUCCUCACUACGUGAGCGGUUUUCUUUCGUACCCUUAUUUCAUCUCAUUUUGAGAUUUGAUAUUGUUUAUUUUUGUUCACCUACUGAAAAUAAAGUGUCUUACAAGUACUUUACCUCUGUCUCCUGGGUUGUUGCCAUUGGGUCCUAUAUCCUGAGUAUCUGAGUUCGUAACAGGAUCUGACAGGCACCUGGUACAAUCUGGUUGGCCACUUCCUGUAUUUCAGAGCUCUGUUUCAGGUGCUGCACCUUUUGCCCAAGAUGACCCACAAGCAGUGGCAUCCUCAUCUCUGUUAUUCAGGAAAAGCAGGAAGUCUGGUUCUGGUUGUUGCUGAGGGAGAGUGCAGUCCUGCGCCUGGGCCAUGAAGUGAUGAGGAUCCACGGGUGUCCCCCAGGGUCUCGGUGCUUGUUAAUCAAGCAGUGGGAUGACAGGCCAUUUGCUGCAUAAAUCACUGCAUUCUCAUCAUGCUGAAAAUGACUUUUUUGAAAAGGUAAAAUGCACCGGUCUGUUAGGAUAAUGUAACAUAGAGCUGUAUGUGUUUCAGCCUCCAUCAAACAGUCUUCAGAAUGUUUUUUUUUUAUAGUCUUGUUCCAAAUAUGGCCGCCUUUUGUCAUACGGAUAUUAAUCCUCUGUCUCACACGGAAGUCAUCAAUAGCCAGUGUCAAUGUGAACCAACAUGUGUUAUUGUACAAGAGUUGAUUGUUCCUGCAGUGCAAUUUUAUGCAACGUCUCAGAGGAGAUGAACAUUGCACAUUCAAUUCUCACAUUUACAGAGUAGCUGUGAUGCCAUUUCCUGUUCUUGUUCUUAGCUGUUUGAAGAGCAAUUUCAACAAAGCAAUUUCAAGUUAAUUGUCUUUGUGUGAAAACAUAAAAAAAAAAAAGCUUCCGUAAUCUCUAUUUAUUCAUGAGUGAAGGAAUAACCCCGGUCCUGUAAGCGAAGAAACAGCAUGGCACAAGGACUAUUUUGAAAACACUAUCUCUUUUCUUCCUUCUAUUAUUACUUGCAUUUUAAAUAUUUUUUGGGGGGAAAUUAUGCUACCACACUUUAUCAACCUCAAGGGAAAAGAAACAGGCAGACACAUGCUCACACACAGCCAAAGACACACUCAUCUGUGUGGCAGCAGUGCACUGACUUACUACUGCCAUCUAGGGAUACAUAAGGAUUCUCUUAAGUUCUCCUCUGUGUGCAUCAUAUUCAUAGUGGGGGCACUAUAUACUCUGUUUUAAAUUGAACUGAUACAAUUACAACCCAAAAAGGACAAACAAAACGUAUCCUCAGUGUGAGCGUUAAAAAAUAAAACAGAGUUACUGUUAGGCAAAUAAAUACAUUUCCAUUUGUGCGUGACCGGUGAAGUAUUUGUCUUUUGCAAUAUUCUGUGCCGGUUCCCAGUGGACAUCAGGGUUGGAGGAGCCACAAUGCAGACAGACCAGCUCACCAUCUCUCUCCUCACACAGCUGGAUCCCACUCACACC